GACGAACGCUGGCGGCGUGCCUAAUACAUGCAAGUAGAACGCAGUUGCGAACGGGUGAGUAACGCGUAGGUAAAUGCCUCAUAGCGGGGGAUAACUAUUGGAAACGAUAGUUAAUACAGCAUCCUGUGAGAUGGACCUGCGUUGUAUUAGCUAGUUGGUGAGGUAAAGGCUCACCAAGGCGACGAUACAUAGCCGAGCUGAGAGGGUGAUCGACAACACGGAGACUGAGAAACGGCACAGACUCCUACGUGAGGCGGCAGGAGGGAAUCGUCGGAAAUGGACGGAAGUCUGACCGAGCAACGCCGAGGUAGUGAAGAAGGUUUUCGGAUCGUAAAGCUCUUUUGUUAGAGAAGCGGUACCUAACCAGAAAGGGACGGCUAACUACGUGCCAGCAGCCGCGGUAAUUC
rnacentral:rRNA from 1 species